rnacentral:rRNA from 1 species
AUUGAACGCUGGCGGCAGGCCUAACACAUGCAAGUCGAGCGGAUGAAGGGAGCUUGCUCCUGGAUUCAGCGGCGGACGGGUGAGUAAUGCCUAGGAAUCUGCCUGGUAGUGGGGGAUAACGUCGGGAAACGGGCGCUAAUACCGCAUACGUCCUGAGGGGGAAAGUGGGGGAUCUUCGGACCUCACGCUAUCAGAUGAGCCUAGGUCGGAUUAGCUAGUUGGUGGGGUAAAGGCCUACCAAGGCGACGAUCCGUAACUGGUCUGAGAGGAUGAUCAGUCACACUGGAACUGAGACACGGUCCAGACUCCUACGGGAGGCAGCAGUGGGGAAUAUUGGACAAUGGGCGAAAGCCUGAUCCAGCCAUGCCGCGUGUGUGAAGAAGGUCUUCGGAUUGUAAAGCACUUUAAGUUGGGAGGAAGGGCAGUAAGUUAAUACCUUGCUGUUUUGACGUUACCAACAGAAUAAGCACCGGCUAACUUCGUG